AGGCAAAACAUUGUGUACUGCCGGGGGUAGAGCUUGAGCUCCUCGGAUAUCAUGAAGUUUGUUAGUAGUGUUACAGAUUCUAAUUAGUAGCGGUCGCACGUAUAGGUUUGAUCAAUGAGCCUAUGAUGACCUGUAAAAUGAAAUCGACUUCGUGUUGUUGCUCACUGCAAACAACUGCUAAAAUCAUCGGCAUUAUUGAUAUGCUUCAUUUAACAGCUGGCUAACGUUACGAUUGGUGUCUUGCACUCCAGCAGAAUCGUUGUCAACGGGCCCUUCGAUGUUACGAUCGCUAUCGCCGUUUUUGCUUUCAUACUCGCAAUAUUUUCUAUUCUACUGAUCUACGGUGCCCAGUGUCGUCGACGUCACAUAGUAAUGUCGUGGCUAAUCGUCCAACUUCUCGA
rnacentral:misc_RNA from 1 species